rnacentral:piRNA from 1 species
UGCUAAGGUCCCAAAGUCCGGAGGU